UGUAUCUUAGAAGUUCUUAAUGUUCUGUACAAACACCAGCAAUGUUUGAACACGAUGUUCAAACAAACCGCCACUGAGCCAUGGAUGGCGAAUUGGCGGUGGUUGCGUCCGACUACAUUAUGUAUAUCAGAACAUUAUAGAACUUCUUAGAUAC
rnacentral:ncRNA from 1 species